rnacentral:tRNA from 1 species
UUUAAUUUGGCAGAUUUAAUGCAAAUGAUUUAGGAUCAUUACAUACUUAAUUAAGUAAUUAAAA